rnacentral:hammerhead_ribozyme from 1 species
AUCCAGCUUGAAGAGUCCCAAAAAGGACGAAUCGCGCGUCCUGGAU